GAUGGACGCUGGCGGCGUGCCUAAUACAUGCAAGUCGAGCGAACGGACGAGAAGCUUGCUUCUCUGAUGUUAGCGGCGGACGGGUGAGUAACACGUGGAUAACCUACCUAUAAGACUGGGAUAACUUCGGGAAACCGGAGCUAAUACCGGAUGAUAUUUUGAACCGCAUGGUUCAAAAGUGAAAGACGGUCUUGCUGUCACUUAUAGAUGGAUCCGCGCUGCAUUAGCUAGUUGGUAAGGUAACGGCUUACCAAGGCAACGAUGCAUAGCCGACCUGAGAGGGUGAUCGGCCACACUGGAACUGAAACACGGUCCAGACUCCUACGGGAGGCAGCAGUAGGGAAUCUUCCGCAAUGGGCGAAAGCCUGACGGAGCAACGCCGCGUGAGUGAUGAAGGUCUUCGGAUCGUAAAACUCUGUUAUUAGGGAAGAACAUAUGUGUAAGUAACUGUGCACAUCUUGACGGUACCUAAUCAGAAAGCCACGGCUAACUACGUG
rnacentral:rRNA from 1 species